GAUGAACGCUAGCGAUAGGCUUAACACAUGCAAGUCGAGGGGCAGCACAAGGUAGCUUGCUAUCUGGGUGGCGACCGGCGCACGGGUGCGUAACGCGUAUGCAACUUGCCCUAUACAGGAGGAUAACCCGUCGAAAGACGGACUAAUACUGCGUAUGCUCACAACUUGGCAUCAAGUGGUGAGGAAAGAAAUUCGGUAUAGGAUAGGCAUGCGUCCCAUUAGCUUGUUGGUGAGGUAACGGCUCACCAAGGCAACGAUGGGUAGGGGAACUGAGAGGUUUACCCCCCACACUGGUACUGAGACACGGACCAGACUCCUACGGGAGGCAGCAGUGAGGAAUAUUGGUCAAUGGGCGCGAGCCUGAACCAGCCAAGUCGCGUGAAGGAGGACUGUCUUAUGGAUUGUAAACUUCUUUUAUACGGGAAUAACAAGAGUCACGUGUGACUCCCUGCAUGUACUGUAUGAAUAAGCAUCGGCUAACUCCGUG
rnacentral:rRNA from 1 species